AUGAACGCUGGCGGCGUGCAUAACACAUUCAAGUCGAACGAAGCAUUUAAGAUGGAGACUUCGGUCAAAGUCUUAUUUGACUUAGUGGCGGACGGGUGAGUAACGCGUGAGCAACCUGCCCUUUUGUUCGGGAUAACGUUUGGAAACGGACGCUAAUACCGAAUGACGUGUUGAGAUUGCAUGGUCUUAACACCAAAGAUUUAUUGCAAAAGGAUGGGCCUGCGGCGUAUUAACUAGUUGGUAAGGUAAUGGCUUACCAAGGCGACGAUGCGUAGCCGGCCUGAGAGGGUGAUCGGCCACAUUGGGACUGAGACACGGUCCAGACUCCUACGGGAGGCAGCAGUGAGGAAUAUUGGUCAAUGGUCUGACGACUGAACCAGCCAUGCCGCGUGAAGGUGACGGCCCUAUGGGUCUUAAACUUCUUUUGUAAGGGAGCAAUAAGAGCUACGUGUAGCUUGAUGAGAGUACCUUACGAAUAAGCAUCGGCUAACUCCGUG
rnacentral:rRNA from 1 species